AAGUCGUAACAAGGUUUCCGUAGGUGAACCUGCGGAAGGAUCAUUACCUUUCUGGCUAUUUAAUAGCUUGUCGGGGGGCUAUAGUCUCUAUAGCCUCUGACUGAAUCCGUGUUUUUUCACGUACUACAUGUUUCCUAGGCGGGCUUGCUCGCCGGUUGGACAACCUAAAAAUCUCUUUGCAAUUGCAAUCAGCGUCUGAAUUAUUUAAUAAUUACAA
rnacentral:misc_RNA from 1 species